GGAGGGAUGACCGAGCGGCCGAAGGUGAUCGCCUGCUAAGCGAUUGAGGGUUCACAAGACUCUCCGAGGGUUCAAAUCCCUCUCCCUCCGCCA
rnacentral:tRNA from 1 species